rnacentral:tRNA from 2 species
CGGGGCGUAGCGCAGCCUGGUAGCGUACUUGCAUGGGGUGCAAGGGGUCGGAGGUUCGAAUCCUCUCGCCCCGA